rnacentral:snoRNA from 1 species
GAACAACGCAAAAUAAACAGUUUUGAAGUGUACGGUUUGAGAACUUGAUUCAGAUGAUGAAUCCGUGCAAUUAAUUAUAAAAAACUGAAGAAGAAUUAAAUAGGUAGCGGUUGGGUGAGUUGUCGUCCGAAUAAGUUGGUCUUCAUCUCAAUAACUGCUGCCACAAUA